GAUGAAGAACGUAGCGAAAUGCGAUAAGUAGUGUGAAUUGCAGAAUUCAGUGAAUCAUCGAAUCUUUGAACGCACAUUGCGCCCCUUGGUAUUCCAUGGGGCAUGCCUGUUCGAGCGUCAUUUGUACCUUCAAGCUUUGCUUGGUGUUGGGUGUUUGUCCCUCGGGACUCGCCUUAAAGUCAUUGGCAGCCAGUGUUUUGGUUUUGAAGCGCAGCACAAGUCGCGAUUCAAGGCUAUCCGCCCGCUUCCACAAGCCUUUUUCACUUUUGACCUCGGAUCAGGUAGGGAUACCCGCUGAACUUAAGCAUAUAAUAAGCGGAGGA
rnacentral:misc_RNA from 1 species